rfam:Verticillium dahliae VdLs.17 supercont1.16 genomic scaffold, whole genome shotgun sequence.
ACAUACGACCAUACCUACUGGAGAACUCGGGAUCCCGUCCGCUCUCCCAUAGAUAAGCUAGUAAGGGUCGGACUAGUAGUUGGGUGGGUGACCACCAGCGAAUCCCUGAUGUUGUAUGUU